rnacentral:rRNA from 1 species
ACGAACGCUGGCGGCGUGCUUAACACAUGCAAGUCGAACGGAAAGGCCCUGCUUGCAGGGUACUCGAGUGGCGAACGGGUGAGUAACACGUGGGUGAUCUGCCCUGCACUUCGGGAUAAGCCUGGGAAACUGGGUCUAAUACCGGAUAGGAGCCAUUUUUAGUGUGAUGGUUGGAAAGUUUUUUCGGUGUAGGAUGAGCUCGCGGCCUAUCAGCUUGUUGGUGGGGUAAUGGCCUACCAAGGCGGCGACGGGUAGCCGGCCUGAGAGGGUGGACGGCCACAUUGGGACUGAGAUACGGCCCAGACUCCUACGGGAGGCAGCAGUGGGGAAUAUUGCACAAUGGGCGCAAGCCUGAUGCAGCGAUGCCGCGUGGGGGAUGACGGCCUUCGGGUUGUAAACUCCUUUCGCUAGGGACGAAGCUUUUUGUGACGGUACCUAGAUAAGAAGCACCGGCUAACUACGUG